rnacentral:lncRNA from 1 species
CAAACAAGGGAUCACACACAAGGCAAACACAAACAAAGGUCAAAGGAUGAAUCAAGUCAUCAUCAAGAUCAAUCAUCCGUUUUGGUGGAUUAUGGUUUUCACCUUAUCAACACCAAAGUUCCAUUGAUAUUGACAAGACUUGAUCGGAUCAACAAAGAAUCAAAGGGUUUGUUAUGAGUCACGAGCAUGGAGUCGGGUUAAGAACCAUC